rnacentral:rRNA from 1 species
AGAGUUUGAUCAUGGCUCAGAUUGAACGCUGGCGGCAGGCCUAACACAUGCAAGUCGAACGGUAACAGGAAGCAGCUUGCUGCUUCGCUGACGAGUGGCGGACGGGUGAGUAAUGUCUGGGAAGCUGCCUGAUGGAGGGGGAUAACUACUGGAAACGGUAGCUAAUACCGCAUAAUGUCGCAAGACCAAAGAGGGGGACCUUCGGGCCUCUUGCCAUCGGAUGUGCCCAGAUGGGAUUAGCUUGUUGGUGGGGUAACGGCUCACCAAGGCGACGAUCCCUAGCUGGUCUGAGAGGAUGACCAGCCACACUGGAACUGAGACACGGUCCAGACUCCUACGGGAGGCAGCAGUGGGGAAUAUUGCACAAUGGGCGCAAGCCUGAUGCAGCCAUGCCGCGUGUAUGAAGAAGGCCUUCGGGUUGUAAAGUACUUUCAGCGGGGAGGAAGGGAGUAAAGUUAAUACCUUUGCUCAUUGACGUUACCCGCAGAAGAAGCACCGGCUAACUCCGUGCCAGCAGCCGCGGUAAUACGGAGGGUGCAAGCGUUAAUCGGAAUUACUGGGCGUAAAGCGCACGCAGGCGGUUUGUUAAGUCAGAUGUGAAAUCCCCGGGCUCAACCUGGGAACUGCAUCUGAUACUGGCAAGCUUGAGUCUCGUAGAGGGGGGUAGAAUUCCAGGUGUAGCGGUGAAAUGCGUAGAGAUCUGGAGGAAUACCGGUGGCGAAGGCGGCCCCCUGGACGAAGACUGACGCUCAGGUGCGAAAGCGUGGGGAGCAAACAGGAUUAGAUACCCUGGUAGUCCACGCCGUAAACGAUGUCGACUUGGAGGUUGUGCCCUUGAGGCGUGGCUUCCGGAGCUAACGCGUUAAGUCGACCGCCUGGGGAGUACGGCCGCAAGGUUAAAACUCAAAUGAAUUGACGGGGGCCCGCACAAGCGGUGGAGCAUGUGGUUUAACUCGAUGCAACGCGAAGAACCUUACCUGGUCUUGACAUCCACGGAAGUUUUCAGAGAUGAGAAUGUGCCUUCGGGAACCGUGAGACAGGUGCUGCAUGGCUGUCGUCAGCUCGUGUUGUGAAAUGUUGGGUUAAGUCCCGCAACGAGCGCAACCCUUAUCCUUUGUUGCCAGCGGUCCGGCCGGGAACUCAAAGGAGACUGCCAGUGAUAAACUGGAGGAAGGUGGGGAUGACGUCAAGUCAUCAUGGCCCUUACGACCAGGGCUACACACGUGCUACAAUGGCGCAUACAAAGAGAAGCGACCUCGCGAGAGCAAGCGGACCUCAUAAAGUGCGUCGUAGUCCGGAUUGGUGUCUGCAACUCGACUCCAUGAAGUCGGAAUCGCUUGUAAUCGUGGAUCAGAAUGCCACGGUGAAUACGUUCCCGGGCCUCGUACACACCGCCCGUCACACCAUGGGAGUGGGUUGCAAAAGAAGUAGGUAGCUUAACCUUCGGGAGGGCGCUUACCACUUUGUGAUUCAUGACUGGGGUGAAGUCGAACAAGGUA